rnacentral:rRNA from 1 species
UCGGGAAUUUUGGGCAAUGGGCGCAAGCCUGAUCCAGCCAUGCCGCGUGAGUGGUGAAGGCCUUAGGGUUGUAAUGCUCUUUUGGCGGGGACGAUAAUGACGGUACCCGCAGAAUAAGCUCCGGCUAACUCCGUGCCAGCAGCCGCGGUAAUACGGAGGGAGCUAGCGUUGUUCGGAAUUACUGGGCGUAAAGCGUACGUAGGCGGUUAUUCAAGUCAGGGGUGAAAGCCUGGAGCUCAACUCCAGAACUGCCCUUGAAACUAGAUAACUAGAAUCUUGGAGAGGUGAGUGGAAUUCCGAGUGUAGAGGUGAAAUUCGUAGAUAUUCGGAAGAACACCAGUGGCGAAGGCGACUCACUGGACAAGUAUUGACGCUGAGGUACGAAAGCGUGGGGAGCAAACAGGAUUAGAUACCCUAGUAGUCCCUGAGCGGGCUGGCAAGGCGCAU